rnacentral:rRNA from 1 species
AAUACAUGCAAGUUGAACGUUUUGUGUUUAAUUGAUACGAUGAGCUUGCUCUGAUUUGAUUUUAUGAUUUCAAAGAGUGGCGAGCGGGUGAGUAACACGUGGGUAACCUACCUCUUAGCGGGGGAUAACAUUUGGAAACAAGUGCUAAUACGGUAUAAUACCAACAACCGCAUGGUGUGUUGGUUGAAAGAUGGUUCUGUUAUCAAUAAGAGAUGGACCCGCGGUGCAUUAGUUAGUUGGUAAGGUAAUGGCUUACCAAGGCAAUGAUGCAUAGCCGAGUUGAGAGACUGAUCGGCCACAAUGGGAUUGAGACACGGCCCAUACUCCUACGGGAGGCAGCAGUAGGGAAUCUUCCACAAUGGGCGCAAGCCUGAUGGAGCAACGCCGCGUGUGUGAUGAAGGGUUUCGGCUCGUAAAACACUGUUAUAAGAGAAGAACGGCACUGAGAGUAACUGUUCAGUGUGUGACGGUAUCUUACCAGAAAGGAACGGCUAAAUACGUGCCAGCAGCCGCGGUAAUACGUAUGUUCCAAGCGUUAUCCGGAUUUAUUGGGCGUAAAGCGAGCGCAGACGGUUAUUUAAGUCUGAAGUGAAAGCCCUCAGCUCAACUGAGGAAUUGCUUGGAAACUGGAUGACU